UUAAUUAACAGUUUUACCAAUCAACAUGAAAUCUUUAAUUCUUCUUAUUUUUGUCAUUGUUUGUGUGUCAGUGGGCGUUUAUGCACAACCUCAAACUUGUGCUGCCUGUCUUGGUGUUAAUGUUGCAUGCACACAAGAUUGUCAAUGUUGUAACAAUUUGAAGUGCAAACAAACAAUUGGAUUGUUGGGCGUAUGUUUAAAUAUUUAAAAUAUAAUUGAUUUCUUCUAACAAAUGACGACAAUUCUGCAGUGCAACAUGGAAAAACUCUCGAAUUAUUGAAUGAAAAUAUAUAUUAUACGUUUAUCUUCACAAUAUAAUAAAUAUUGGAAAAUUGGCUGUGAAACACUUGGAAUAUUGGGUUUGUGUUUAAAUGUUUAAUAUUGAUUGAUUUGUUCUAACAAAUGGACACUCUGGGUAUACAACAUGGAAAAACUUUUUAUUAUUGAAUGGAAAUAUUAAUUAAUUAAUCAUUAAUUAAUAUGUAAAUGUUUAUCAUCACAAUAUAAUAAUAAUAAUUUUAGAAAAUUGGCUUUAAAAGUUUUACAAUAAUGUAAAAAAGAGAAAUUUUGUAAAAAAUUGUUUUUAACAAUAAAUAAAACAACAAAAAAAAUUUGUA